UUAGUUCCUACUAUUCCCUUAACCAUACAUAAUGCACAAUUAGAAUGUUAAUUUCUUCAGCAUACAAGAGACUCCCAAUAUUUUCUAUUUUCCUUAUACAUUCUUUAAUUCUAGCUAAAAUACUUCUUGAUUACCUCAAGUAUACAUGAAAAUGUAACAAAAAGUUUUUAUGAUUUGAAUACUAAACUUCAAAAUGUGCUUGUGUCAAGUUUAUUUAUAUACGUAUUUCCUAGUAUACGUUGUAAGCUACUUGAGAGCAGUUAUUAACCAAUGUGCAUUUAUUCAAAAAUAUUUAUCUAUAAUUCAAUGGGUUCAAAAAACUAUAGUCACGUUUCAGUAAUAAUUUCAUACAGAAAGUUCCUUGUAUCACAGAGUGUAUGGACUGGUUCAAAGGCAUACAAUCAGUGUCUGAAUCAUUUAUAACACCAAACACAAUGUCAUGAGCAUAGUAUUCAUAUGUCAUAUAUAUAUGUGUGACAUACAUGUUGCUUGAAUAUAUAUACAUCUUAAAAUUUUUUGAUUGCUGGCUUUUUCACAUACAUACUUUUAUAUUCUCCCUUACUUCAGUGUUUAUCUGGCCUUUUUUCACUCUUUUGUUCAUUACUUCCACAUACAAUAUUAUGGAACACCAGAAAAGUAUCCGAUAAAGCAAAAUUACAUAAUAAAAUUAGCCCCUGCCAUUCAGUACUCACUCAUAUUUAUGAAAAUUAUUGAAUUCAGAAUAUUUGAGGUUUCUUUUUUCUGACUUUGGCUUUAAACCUAUUCAUUUUCAUGCAUACAUUUGAUUCAUGGAUGUUCAGAAAAGAACAUUUUUGUCAAACCACAGUAUAGGAUUUAGGUAAAUGUAUGAAGUUUAGCAAUGCAUUAUACCUAGAAGUAUCCAGAUAGCAAAUACUUCCUCUAAAGUGGAGACUUACUCAAGUUUGUACAAUCCUCAUCUUUUCAACUGGCCCACUACUCUCCUGCCAAGUCAUCUGUAAUGUAACCACAUGGAGAGUUAAAAGGUAGGAAAAAUGGCACUGAGGUGCAUACUAAAAGAAGCUGUUUCUCCUUUGGCAGUCACUCUAUCACAGGGAUGCCAAGCACAGAUGGUAAAGAUGUUCCUGGCUCCUACCGCUAUCUUGACUGUCCAAAUGCAGUCGGAGAGGACUGGAAAAAGGGUAAAUGCCACACCUCCCAGCUGAGGCAGCAAAACCUCUAGUCUCUUUUUAAAUGCUUUAUUCAGAACGCCAGGUUCUUGCCCAUUUGAUUUUUGUUAACUUGCUGACAGAAUAAAUUGAAAAGAAGUAUAUGAGUAGGAUGAAAAGAAGGUAAGAGAAUCAUCUCAAUGCCCUUAGCACCAAUUAUGUUACAAAAAUCACCAUGGUUAUCUUGGCACAUUUAUAUGGCUGAGGAAAUUAUUUAUUUUGAAUGUAAUAAUUUGAGGAAAUUAUUAAUUUUGAUAAAGUGCUUUCAUCAUACUACAGAAGUUUAGCUCCUUAAAAUGAUGAAUUGUAUCCAAAUGAAAGGAUCUUUAAUUAAAGUACUAAUGCCAUAUUAAAAAGGAAACAAAUAACUGUAACUUCUAAUUUACUUAUUGAUGGAAAUUGUAAGAAAAAUACAAUUGGUUAUUUUUCCUUAGUUUUCAAAAUAAUAGACCAAGAUUUAAUCUAAAGUAAUUAAAUAGAGGAAUAGACUUAUUGCUGAUCAAGAAGUUCUGGAGAAGCAGGGUUAAAUUUAUUAUGGUUCCUAAACCAUAAUUGUUUUUAAUCAAACAAGACAAUCAAAGUGUAACAUACUGGAUGAAUAGUGUCAACAUAUUAUAGCUUAUUUAUUUAUUAGAAAUUUUCUUCAAAAUCGAUAUUUUUCUCAAAGAAACUUUACUGAAUUGAUCAUUUACACAGAAGUCUUAGUGCCACAAUAUUUUAUUCAGAUAUAACUUUUUUCACCUGAAUAGGCAAUAAUAUACUUUCUCUAAUGCUCCAACUGAGGAUAUUGGAAGUAAUUUUUCACUCAAUAGUUUUUAUUAUUUAUGUGUUAAAGUUGAGUGGUUAAUACUUUUCAUUCUAUUGUCUCUUCAUCCCUUUGUACAUACUUAUAAGUUUUUCUUGUAUAAAAAUACUUCCUAUUUGUAUACUAAAAUCUUUUCUGCAAAAAUAUCUCUAUAUAAGCUGAUGAACAAAUUGUGAACAUACAAAAUUAUCUUCAGAACCUAUUAAUUUCAUAGCCCAGUGACACCAUCAUUGCAUAAUAUGUCUAAAAAGUCUCUUCCAUGGUAUAGAGCUUGUGGAAACAAUGCAUUAUUUGUCUUAUUCUGAUUGGAGAGUCCAAACUAUUUUUAAUGGGGAAAUCAUCUGGGAUACAUUUAGAUUAAUUAAUAUUUGGACUUUUACUUUAUGGACCACGUUCGAUGUUACAUUUCAUAAAUCACAUUGGAAAUAAGAUCUGAAGUUGCAGUGCUCUGUGCUCUCAACCCUACACCACAGAUCUCUUUUCAAUAAUCAUUUGAACCAAGAAUUAUGUCAAAUUAAUGGUAAUGAAUGCUAUUUACAGCAAUUACAUUGGGGCACUUUUUGAAUCAAUAAAUCAAUUACUACAAAGUAACUCUUGCCAAAUCAAUCAUAAGUUCUUCUCUCAAACCAGUUAUUAAAGGUCACAUUGCUAAUACAUGAACAUCGAAAUCUGCUUCUGCUGGAAUUUCUAACACAUGCCUUUGCCCCUGAGAGAAUACUUUUUAAACUCAGAUUUAUGGAGUGGAGGGAAAAAAUAAUUCCUGAAGGAUUUAGACUAUAGAAAUGUGAAGCUGAGGUAAACAAAUUGGUGAAUAAGAGGGAAAGAUCUUGGCAAUAUCCAUCUCCUUCCAUAUAUGUUUCUUACAGCAUAGAGAAAGAGUGAUUACUGAUGAACACAAUCUAAUUAUCUAAAUGGUUGGAAGUAUUGCUCAUAGCUUCCUCUCACAUAAACUGGGAAAUUCCUGACAAUUUUUUUUAGCCCAGUCUCUUGUUAAUAUUUGGCACAAAGGAUGAACGAUAAUUCCUAAAGUGUUUGGGAGAAGUAAGAUGAUUCCGAAAUAGUGCUGAAUAAAAUGCCUAAGACAAUAAUACUGGCAUUUUUUUAAUCCUUCAAGUUCCUUUCUCCCCAUAUUUAUCACUAACAUAGCCUAUAAAAUAAUCCAAGAUUUGGAGGUCAGAAGUCUCACAUGGAUCCCAACAGGCUAAAAGAAAGGGGUCGGCAGGGCUGUGUUAUUUUAUGGAGGCUCUAGAAAAAAGACAAAUUACAAGCUCAUUUAUGUGUUGACAGAAUUCACUUAUACGUGGUUGUGGGACUGAAGUCUUUGAUUCCUCGUUGGCUGUCAGCUGGGGGACACCCUUAUCCCCUAUAGACCCUCUGCCUUCCUUCUACCAAAAAACCUGUAUUUCAGAAUUAACAAGGUAUCAAAUCAAAUUAUUUUCUUGGUGCCACAUCUCUGACCCUUUGCCACAAUAUCCUUCUGGGCUAGAACUAGGAAAAUAUUCUCUACUUUUAAGGUCUCCUGUGAUUAUAUUGGACCCCUCCCUCCAGAAAAUCCAUGAUAAUCUCUUCAUCUCAAAGUCCAUAACCUCGAUCACACCUGAAGAGCCCUUUGGCCAUGUAAUGUAACAAACUCACAGGUUUUAGGAGUUAGGACAUGGAUAUCUUUUGGUGGUUAUGGGGGUAAGAGGAGGGUGCACUACUCUGCUGACUAUACCCUCUUAUGAACCAAGUAAUAUUUUGCCAUGUUCUUUAUUAUUCUGUCAAAACUGUGGAAAAUGCUUAUUUAUUCUAGAUAUCUAACUUUACAAAUCAAUCCUCAAACAUUUCCAAUCCCCUUUACCUCAUCUAUUGCUGGUAAAGCAAAGAGAGGACUUGGUACUUGCUUUGAAAUUUGUAUUUCCAGAACCCUUCCAGAUGAAAUUAGCCUGUCUUCAUAGAGCCAUGUACAUGACUGGUUUUAUUCAUACCACUUUCUGUCUUGCAUUAGUUUUAUGUACACUUUUUGUCUUGAAAAUUGUCAUAAAAUACUUAAGAGCAGAAUAUUAUUUGAAGAUUAUUAUUUUAAGAAUGUUCUUGUGCAUCUCAGAAUCUCCCACAAAUCUAGAAAAACAGGAUUUGAAGAAUAUGUAAUCAGUAAUGUUUACCACUAAGGAAACUGUAGAAUGAUUAAGAUCACUCGUGUAGCUUCAGAGAGCCUAGGUUCAAAGAACAUUUCCAUUCCCAACUAAGUAACUUGGGGCAAGUUAUUUAACAACUCUAAGCCUUAGUUUCCACAUCAAAUGUGGACAAUAAUAAUAACAUUUAAUUCAUAGAGUUGACAUAAGGAUUAGGUCAGCACAUAUGUAAUACAUGGUAAAAAAAUCAAUUCAUGUUAGUUUUCAGGCUAAAAGGCAAAAUACAUUUUGACAAGUUUUCCAUUUGUCUUUUUGAAUUUAUGAACAAAAAGUAAUUUGUUUAAUUCAUAUACAUUUUAACUUAAAACUCUGACAUUAAAAAUAAUGGAUGUUAUAGAGUUCCCACCAUGGUUCAGCAGAAAUGAAUCUGACUAUAACCAUGAGGAUGCAGGUUCGAUCCCUGGCCUUACUCAGUGGGUUAAGGAUCUGGUGUUGCUGUGGCUGUGGUGUAGGCCAGCAGUCUUAGCUCUCACUUGACUCCUAGCCUGGGAACCUCCAUAUGCCAUGGGGUUGUGGCCCCUCCAAAAAAAACCCAAAAACAACAACAAAAAUGGAUUUUAGGAGUUCCUGCUGUGGUUCAGACGAAACAAAUCUGACUAGUAACCCAUGACAUAGAUUUGAUCCCUGGCCUCGCUUAGUGGGUUGAGGAUCCACGGUUUUAGUGAUCUGUGGUAUAGGUUGCUAAAACAGCUCAGAUCUAGAGUUGCUGUGGCUGUGGUAUAAGCUGCUGGCUACAAGUCCUACAACUCUGAUUCAAUCCCCUAGCCUGGGAACUUCCAUAUGCUGCAGGUGCAGAC
rnacentral:lncRNA from 1 species